rnacentral:rRNA from 1 species
UUGAACGCUGGCGGCAGGCCUAACACAUGCAAGUCGCGCGGAUGAAGGGAGCUUGCUCCUGGAUUCAGCGGCGGACGGGUGAGUAAUGCCUAGGAAUCUGCCUGGUAGUGGGGGAUAACGUCCGGAAACGGGCGCUAAUACCGCAUACGUCCUGAGGGAGAAAGUGGGGGAUCUUCGGACCUCACGCUAUCAGAUGAGCCUAGGUCGGAUUAGCUAGUUGGUGGGGUAAAGGCCUACCAAGGCGACGAUCCGUAACUGGUCUGAGAGGAUGAUCAGUCACACUGGAACUGAGACACGGUCCAGACUCCUACGGGAGGCAGCAGUGGGGAAUAUUGGACAAAGGGCGAAAGCCUGAUCCAGCCAUGCCGCGUGUGUGAAGAAGGUCUUCGGAUUGUAAAGCACUUUAAGUUGGGAGGAAGGGCAGUAAGUUAAUACCUUGCUGUUUUGACGCUACCAACAGAAUAAGCACCGGCUAACUUCGUG